rnacentral:rRNA from 1 species
UACAAUAAGCAAAAUAAGGGCGUAUGGGGGAUGCCUUGGCUCUCAGAGGCGAUGAAAGGCGUGAUAAGCUGCGAAAAGCUACGGGGAUUGGCACACACGAUAUGAUCCGUAGAUACCUGAAUGGGGCAACCCACUAUGUUGAAGACAUAGUACACCGAUAGGUGGGCAAACCCGCUGAACUGAAACAUCUAAGUAGGCGGAGGAGAAGAAAACAAAAGUGAUUCCGUAAGUAGUGGCGAGCGAACGCGGAUUAGCCCAAACCAAUGUUGUUACGGCAAUAUUGGGGUUGUAGGACCACGACAUUUGUUGCGGAUUGAAUUAGAAUUUACUGGAAAGUA